GGCUCAGAACGAACGCUGGCGGCGUGCUUAACACAUGCAAGUCGAACGAACCUUCGGGUUAGUGGCGGACGGGUGAGUAACGCGUGAGAAUCUGCCCUCAGGAGGGGGAUAACGGUUGGAAACGGCCGCUAAUACCCCAUAUGCCGGGAGGUGAAAUGAAAUUCGCCUGAGGAUGAGCUCGCGUCUGAUUAGCUAGUUUUUGGGGUAAAGGCCUAGCAAAGCAUCGAUCAGUAGCUGGUCUGAGAGGAUGAUCAGCCACAUCGUCCNUGAGACACGGACCAGACUCCUAC
rnacentral:rRNA from 1 species